UACGAAGGGGGCUAGCGUUGUUCGGAUUUACUGGGCGUAAAGGGCGCGUAGGCGGCCUUCUAAGUCGAACGUGAAAUCCCCGGGCUCAACCCGGGAACUGCGUCCGAUACUGGAAGGCUUGAAUCCGGGAGAGGGAUGUGGAAUUCCAGGUGUAGCGGUGAAAUGCGUAGAUAUCUGGAGGAACACCGGUGGCGAAGGCGACAUCCUGGACCGGUAUUGACGCUGAGGAGCGAAAGCCAGGGGAGCAAACGGG
rnacentral:rRNA from 1 species